rnacentral:rRNA from 1 species
AACGAACGCUGGCGGCAGGCUUAACACAUGCAAGUCGAGCGCCCCGCAAGGGGAGCGGCAGACGGGUGAGUAACGCGUGGGAAUCUAUCCAUCUCUACGGAAUAACGCAUGGAAACGUGUGCUAAUACCGUAUACGUCCUUCGGGAGAAAGAUUUAUCGGAGAUGGAUGAGCCCGCGUUGGAUUAGCUAGUUGGUGGGGUAAAGGCCUACCAAGGCGACGAUCCAUAGCUGGUCUGAGAGGAUGAUCAGCCACACUGGGACUGAGACACGGCCCAGACUCCUACGGGAGGCAGCAGGGGGGAAUAUUGGACAAUGGGCGCAAGCCUGAUCCAGCCAUGCCGCGUGAGUGAUGAAGGCCCUAGGGUUGUAAAGCUCUUUCACCGGUGAAGAUAAUGACGGUAACCGGAGAAGAAGCCCCGGCUAACUUCGUGCCAGCCGCCGCAGUAAGAC